rnacentral:rRNA from 1 species
CGUGGACCCGCACAAGUAGCGGAUCAUGUUGUUUAAUUCGCAGCAACGCGAAUAACCUUACCUAUGCUUGACAUCACAUUUUCAUCUCCUUAAUCGGUGAGUUCUCUUCGGGUACUCUGAUGCCAGGUGGUGCAUGGUUGUCGUCAGCUCGUGUCGUGAGAUGUUGGGUUAAGUCCCGCCACGAGCGCAACCCUUGUCUUUAGUUACCAUAAUUAAGUUGGGCACUCUAGAGAGACUGCCAGGGAUAACCUGGAGGCAGGUGGGGAUGACGUCAAAUCAUCAUGCCACGUCUGCUUAGGGCUGCACAAGUGCUACAAGGGGUAGGAAAGAGGGUUGACAAGCCGUAAGGUGGAGCAACGCCCUUAAAGCUACUCUCAGCACGGAUUGUAGGCGGAAACGCGGCUACAAGAAGC